UACAGAGGGGGCAAGCGUUGUUCGGAAUUACUGGGCGUAAAGGGCGCGUAGGCGGCCUGCUAAGUCGAACGUGAAAUCCCUGGGCUCAACCCAGGAACUGCGUCCGAUACUGGUUGGCUUGAAUUCGGGAGAGGGAUGCAGAAUUCCAGGUGUAGCGGUUAAAUGCGUAGAUAUCUGGAGGAAUACCGGUGGCGAAGGCGGCAUCCUGGACCGAGAUUGACACUGAUGAGCGAAAGCCAGGGGAGCAAACGGG
rnacentral:rRNA from 1 species